rnacentral:rRNA from 1 species
GGCGUAUAGUCGGCAGUGGCAGACGCGAAACCAAGUGAUCUACCCUUGGCCAGGUUGAAGGCUGGGUAACACCAGCUGGAGGACCGCACCAAUAAGCGUUGAAAAGCUUCUGGAUGAGCUGAGGGUAGGGGUGAAAGGCUAAUCAAACUUGGAGAUAGCUCGUACUCCCCGAAAUGCAUUUAGGUGCAGCCUUGCGGGUUACUGAUGUGAGGUAGAGCGACUGAUAAGAUGCGAGGGCUUCACCGCCUAUCAAGUCUUGACAAACUCCGAAUGCGCAUCAGUUCUACCGCAGGAGUGAGGGCAUGGGUGCUAAGGUCCAUGUCCUAAAGGAGAACAAUCCGGACCAACAGCUAAGGUCCCGAAAUGAAUACUAAGUUGAACUAACGAAGUCAGAUUGCUAAGACAGCUAGGAUGUUGGCUUGGAAGCAGCCAUUCAUUUAAAGAGUGCGUAACAGCUCACUAGUCGAGGAGUCGGGCGUGGAUAAUAAUCGGGUAUCAAGUUGUCUACCGAAGCAGUGGGAUCAUUUAUAUGAUCGGUAGGGGAGCAUUCCAGUCAGCGUCGAAGGCGUACCGUGAGGUAUUCUGGAGCGUCUGGAAAAGCAAAUGUAGGUAUAAGUAACGAUAAAGGGGGCGGGAAACCCCCUCGCCGAAAGACUAAGGUUUCCUGAUCAACGCUAAUCGGAUCAGGGUCAGUCGGGUCCUAAGGCUCAGCCGAACGGCGAUGCCGAUGGCAGAAACGGUUAAUAUUCCGUUACUACCUUCAGGAGUGACGUGGAGACGCAGUAGUGACAGUGCCGCCAUCUGACGGAAUAGAUGGUUGAAGGGUGUAGGAGUCGAUCAUGGCAGGCAAAUCCACCAUGAGAUCCGAACUUGAGAGUAUGCCGCGUCCUUCGGGACAAGGCAAUAGUGCGCGUAAGCAUGCUGCCGAGAAAAUCCGCUAAACUUAAUCCUGUAGGUACCCGUACCGCAAACGGACACACGUAGUCGGGAUGAAUAUUCUAAGGCGCUUGAGUGAUUCACGGUUAAGGAACUAGGCAAACUGACCCUGUAACUUCGGGAUAAAGGGUCCUCGCUUAACGGCGAGGCGCAGAGAAUAGGUCCAGGCAACUGUUUAACAAAAACACAGGGCUGUGCAAAAUUGAAAGAUGAAGUAUACAGCCUGACACCUGCCCGGUGCUGGAAGGUUAAGAGGAGAUGUCAUCGCAAGAGAAGCAUUGAAUUGAAGCCCCAGUAAACGGCGGCCGUAACUAUAACGGUCCUAAGGUAGCGAAAUUCCUUGUCGGGUAAGUUCCGACCUGCACGAAUGGUGUAAUGAUCUGGACGCUGUCUCAACCGUGAGCUCAGUGAAAUUGUAGUAUCGGUGAAGAUGCCGAUUACCCGCGAUGGGACGAAAAGACCCCGUGAACCUUUACUAUAGCUUAACAUUGAAUUUGGGUAAUUGAUGUGUAGGAUAGGCCGGAGGCUUCGAAGCAGGUACGCCAGUAUUUGUGGAGCCGCUGUUGAAAUACGGCCCUUUGAUUAUUUGAGUUCUAACCCGUUGUAACGGGGACACUGUUUGGUGGGUAGUUUGACUGGGGUGGUCGCCUCCAAAAGUGUAACGGAGGCUUCUAAAGGUGCCCUCACGACGAUUGGUAACCGUCGGCAGAGUGUAAUGGCAUAAGGGCGCUUGACUGGGAGACUUACAAGUCGAUCAGGUAGGAAACUAGAGCAUAGUGAUCCGGUGUUUCCGUAUGGAAGGGACAUCGCUCAAAGGAUAAAAGGUACUCCGGGGAUAACAGGCUGAUCCCUCCCAAGAGCUCAUAUCGACGGAGUGGUUUGGCACCUCGAUGUCGGCUCGUCACAUCCUGGGGCUGGAGAAGGUCCCAAGGGUUGGGCUGUUCGCCCAUUAAAGUGGCACGCGAGCUGGGUUCAGAACGUCGUGAGACAGUUCGGUCUCUAUCUAUCGUGGGCGCAUGAAAUUUGCGUGGCUCUGACACUAGUACGAGAGGACCGUGUUGGACUGACCUCUGGUUUACCGGUUGUGCCGCCAGGUGCAUUGCCGGGUAUCUAAGUCGGGAUUGGAUAAGUGCUGAAAGCAUCUAAGUACGAAGCCAGCCACAAGAUUAGAUUUCUCAGGGUCGUUGUAGACUACGACGUUGAUAGGAUGCAGGUGUAAAGGUAGAGAUACCAAAGCCGAGCAUUACUAAUUGCCCGUCCACUUUCCUUA